CGGGCGGUAUCAGAAGAGCUGCACCGGUACGACGGAUAAAAAACGAAACAAAAUAUGACGAAAGCUGCCUUGAUCCAUGCGGACAGGGACAGAGGG
rfam:Domibacillus antri strain XD80 WGS_contig_8, whole genome shotgun sequence.